AAGAGGUUGGGCGGAUGUUGUGAGCCGGGUCGCUGCGGCCGAGGCUCCGGCCCCCAGGACCACUGGCUGCCCAUGAGAGAUGAAGGAUGGCAUCCAAGGGGGCCGGCAUGUCUUUCUCCCGCAAGAGCUAUAGGCUGACCUCAGAUGCUGAGAAAUCCAGGGUCACAGGCAUUGUGCAGGAGAAGCUGCUGAAUGACUACCUGAACCGCAUCUUUUCCUCUUCUGAACAUGCACCCCCAGCAGCCACCAGCAGGAAACCCCUGAACUUCCAGAACCUGCCAGAACAUUUGGACCAGUUGCUACAGGUGGACAAUGAGGAGGAGGAAAGCCAGGGACAGGUUGAAGGGCGGCUUGGCCCAUCCACUGUGGUCCUGGACCACACAGGCGGCUUUGAGGGGCUUCUCCUGGUGGAUGAUGACCUGCUGGGGGUGAUUGGACACAGCAACUUUGGCACCAUCCGCUCUACCACAUGCGUGUACAAAGGGAAAUGGCUCUACGAGGUCCUCAUCUCCUCCCAGGGGCUCAUGCAGAUCGGCUGGUGCACCAUCAGCUGCCGCUUCAACCAGGAGGAGGGGGUUGGAGAUACACACAACUCCUAUGCCUAUGAUGGCAACCGCGUGCGCAAGUGGAAUGUGACCACAACGAAUUAUGGCAAGGCGUGGGCAGCGGGGGACAUCGUGAGCUGCCUGAUUGACCUGGAUGAUGGCACUCUGUCCUUCUGCCUGAACGGUGUAUCACUGGGCACUGCCUUUGAGAACCUGUCCAGGGGCCUGGGUAUGGCCUACUUCCCAGCCAUCAGCCUCUCUUUCAAGGAGUCCGUGGCCUUCAACUUUGGCAGCCGUCCUCUGCGCUACCCAGUGGCAGGCUACCGGCCCCUGCAGGACCCACCGAGUGCUGACCUGGUGCGGGCACAGAGGUUGCUGGGCUGCUUCCGGGCAGUGCUGAGUGUGGAGCUGGACCCUGUGGAGGGGCGGCUGUUGGACAAGGAGAGCUCCAAGUGGCGGUUGCGGGGCCAGCCCACCGUCCUCCUCACACUGGCCCACAUCUUCCAUCACUUUGCACCGCUUCUGCGCAAGGUGUAUCUGGUGGAGGCUGUGCUCAUGAGCUUCUUGCUGGGCAUCGUGGAGAAGGGCACACCCACACAGGCACAGUCCGUGGUGCACCAGGUCCUGGACCUCUUGUGGCUCUUCAUGGAGGACUACGAGGUACAAGAUUGCCUCAAGCAGUUGAUGAUGUCUCUGCUUCGGCUGUACCGAUUCUCACCCAUUGUCCCAGACCUGGGCCUACAGAUCCAUUACCUGCGGCUCACUAUCGCCAUCCUGAGGCAUGAGAAGUCCCGCAAGUUUCUGCUUAGCAAUGUCCUCUUCGACGUGCUCCGCUCCGUCGUCUUCUUUUACAUCAAGAGCCCCCUGCGUGUGGAGGAGGCCGGCCUGCAGGAGCUCAUUCCCACCACCUGGUGGCCCCACUGCUCCAGUAGGGAGGGCAAAGAGAGCACGGAGAUGAAGGAGGAGACCGCAGAGGAGCGGCUGCGGCGGCGAGCCUACGAACGGGGCUGUCAGCGGCUCAGGAAGCGCAUCGAAGUGGUGGAAGAACUACAGGUCCAGAUCCUGAAGCUGCUGCUGGACAAUAAAGAUGACAAUGGGGGUGAAGCUUCUAGGUAUAUCUUCCUGACCAAGUUUCGCAAGUUUCUGCAGGAGAACGCCAGUGGCCGGGGGAACAUGCCCAUGCUCUGCCCCCCUGAGUACAUGGUCUGCUUCUUACACCGGCUGAUCUCUGCCCUGCGCUACUAUUGGGAUGAAUACAAGGCUUCCAAUCCUCAUGCUUCCUUCAGUGAGGAGGCCUACAUCCCGCCCCAGGUCUUCUAUAAUGGCAAGGUGGACUACUUUGACCUGCAGCGCCUGGGGGGCCUCCUCUCGCACCUGCGGAAGACCCUCAAAGAUGACCUUGCUUCCAAAGCCAACAUUGUGAUCGACCCACUGGAGCUCCAGUCAACCGCCAUGGAUGACCUAGAUGAGGAUGAGGAGCCAGCCCCAGCUAUGGCCCAGCGCCCCAUGCAGGCCCUGGCUGUUGGGGGGCCACUGCCCCUGCCCCGGCCCGGCUGGCUCAGUUCUCCAACUUUGGGCCGAGCCAACCGCUUCCUCAGCACAGCGGCUGUGAGCCUCAUGACCCCACGGCGGCCUCUGAGCACCUCGGAGAAAGUGAAGGUCCGCACGCUGAGCGUGGAGCAGAGGACCCGUGAGGACAGUAGUUGAAGGCAGCCACUGGAAUGAGGGCUUGCUGCUGGGGCGGCCCCCCGAGGAGCCUGAGCAGCCCCUCACCGAGAACUCGCUGCUGGAAGUCCUGGAUGGGGCGGUCAUGAUGUACAACCUCAGCGUACACCAGCAGCUGGGCAAGAUGGUGGGUGUCUCCGAUGAUGUCAAUGAAUACGCUAUGGCUCUGAGGGACACAGAGGACAAGCUCCGCCGGUGCCCCAAGAGGAGGAAGGACAUCCUUGCAGAGUUGACCAAGAGCCAGAAGGUUUUCUCAGAAAAGCUGGACCACCUGAGCCGCCGUCUUGCCUGGGUCCAUGCCACUGUCUACUCCCAGGAGAAGAUGCUGGACAUCUACUGGCUGCUGCGCGUCUGCCUGCGGACCAUUGAGCACGGUGAUCGCACAGGGUCUCUCUUUGCCUUCAUGCCCGAGUUCUACCUGAGCGUGGCCAUCAACAGCUACAGUGCUCUCAAGAAUUACUUUGGUCCCGUGCACAGCAUGGAGGAGCUCCCAGGUGAUGGAACCAUUCAGGCUGAGGCAGAAGCAGAAAAGGGGUCUCUAGUGUGAGCCCUAGGAGCCCUGGUCUGAGACCUCUGUGGCCCAGCAACACACUUCUGUGGGGGGCGGGGAGGGGAGGAGCUUCCUCUGUGGUUCACCCUGCAGCAAACAAACGUCUGCACCCUGCCCUGGGACCUGCAGCCACAGAGCCAACAGCUCCCUAGCAAAGGAAAACAGACAAGAUGGAACACGGCUAUGAAGAGACCCUGACCCGCCUGGCUGCCAUUCUCGCCAAACACUUUGCCGACGCACGCAUUGUGGGCACUGACAUCCGAGACUCACUGAUGCAGGCCCUGGCCAGCUACGUGUGCUACCCACACUCCCUGCGGGCUGUGGAGCGAAUCCCCGAGGAGCAGCGUAUCGCCAUGGUGAGGAACCUCCUGGCGCCCUAUGAGCAGCGGCCCUGGGCCCAGACCAACUGGAUCCUGGUGCGGCUCUGGAGGGGCUGUGGCUUCGGGUACCGCUAUACACGGCUGCCACAUCUGCUGAAAACCAAACUUGAGGACGCCAAUUUGCCCAGCCUCCAGAAGCCCUGCCCUUCCACCCUGCUGCAGCAGCACAUGGCGGACCUCCUACAGCAGGGUCCUGAUGUGGCACCCAGCUUCCUCAACAGCGUCCUCAAUCAGCUCAACUGGGCCUUCUCUGAAUUCAUUGGCAUGAUCCAAGAGAUCCAGCAGGCUGCUGAGCGCCUGGAGCGGAACUUUGUGGACAGCCGGCAGCUCAAGGUAUGUGCCACCUGCUUUGACCUCUCGGUCAGCCUGCUGCGUGUCUUGGAGAUGACUAUCACACUGGUGCCUGAGAUAUUCCUUGACUGGACCCGGCCUACCUCUGAGAUGCUGCUGCGGCGUCUUGCACAGCUGCUAAACCAGGUGCUGAACCGGGUGACAGCUGAGAGGAACCUGUUUGAUCGUGUGGUCACCCUACGGCUGCCUGGCCUAGAGAGCGUGGACCACUAUCCCAUUCUGGUGGCAGUGACGGGCAUCCUGGUGCAGCUCCUGGUGCGUGGCCCAGCCUCAGAGAGAGAGCAAGCCACAUCAGUGCUCCUGGCAGAUCCCUGCUUCCAGCUACGCUCAAUAUGCUAUCUCCUGGGACAGCCAGAGCCCCCAGCACCUGGCACUGCUCUGCCAGCCCCUGACCGGAAGCGCUUCUCCCUGCAGAGCUAUGCGGAUUAUAUCAGUGCCGAUGAGCUGGCCCAAGUGGAACAGAUGCUGGCGCACCUGACCUCUGCAUCUGCCCAGGCAGCAGCUGCCUCCCUGCCCACCAGUGAGGAGGACCUCUGCCCCAUCUGCUAUGCCCACCCCAUCUCUGCUGUGUUCCAGCCCUGUGGCCACAAGUCCUGCAAAGCCUGUAUCAACCAGCACCUGAUGAACAACAAGGACUGCUUCUUCUGCAAAACCACCAUCGUGUCUGUAGAGGACUGGGAGAAGGGAGCCAAUACGAGUACUACCUCCUCAGCUGCCUAGCCCUCACAGCCUGUGCCAUCCUGGAACCUCCACCUUUGAACCCAGAGCCAGGCUGGGCCCUAUUUAUGAGCUCCCUUUGCCCUUCUCCUGUAUCCCACACCACCACAUCCAACCUCCUUGCCUGCCUGUAUCCUCAUUGGUGGGAGCCCAGCCAUGGCCCUAAUUGUGCCUGAGCUUGACUUUCAGUCAGGGCCACAGUGAGCAUUAAAUUAUUAUUCCAUACA